rnacentral:rRNA from 1 species
UACGUAGGGUGCAAGCGUUGUCCGGAAUUAUUGGGCGUAAAGAGCUCGUAGGCGGUUCGUCGCGUCGGCUGUGAAAACCCGGAGCUCAACUCCGGGCCUGCAGUCGAUACGGGCGGACUUGAGUGUUGCAGGGGAGACUGGAAUUCCUGGUGUAGCGGUGAAAUGCGCAGAUAUCAGGAGGAACACCGGUGGCGAAGGCGGGUCUCUGGGCAACUACUGACGCUGAGGAGCGGAAGCGUGGGGAGCGAACAGG